UACGUAGGGUGCAAGCGUUGUCCGGAAUUAUUGGCGUAAGAAGCUCGUAGGCGGUCUGUCGCGUCUGCUGUGAAAUCCCCGGGGCUCAACUCCGGGCUUGCAGUGGAUACGGGCAGACUAGAGUGCGGUAGGGGAGACUGGAAUUCCUGGUGUAGCGGUGGAAUGCGCAGAUAUCAGGAGGAACACCGAUUGCGAAGGCAGCUCACAAAACUAUAACUGACGCUGAGCACGAAAGUGCGGGGAUCAAACAGG
rnacentral:rRNA from 1 species